rnacentral:tRNA from 1 species
GCUAGCGUAGCUUAACUAAAGCAUAACACUGAAGAUGUUAAAAUGGGCCCUAGAAAGCUCCGCAAGCA